rnacentral:rRNA from 1 species
CUUUCCCCUUUUUUUAACUUUCACCUGCAGUCGAACGAUGAACCUCACUUGUGGGGGGAUUAGUGGCGUUAACGGGUGAGUAACACGUGAGUAACCUGCCCUUGACUCUGGGAUAAGCCUGGGAAACCGGGUCUAAUACUGGAUACGACCGUUCUGGCGCAUGCCAUGUUGGUGGAAAGCCUUUUGUGGUUUUGGAUGGACUCGCGGCCUAUCAGCUUGUUGGUGGGGUAAUGGCCUACCAAGGCGACGACGGGUAGCCGGCCUGAGAGGGUGACCGGCCACACUGGGACUGAGACACGGCCCAGACUCCUACGGGAGGCAGCAGUGGGGAAUAUUGCACAAUGGGCGCAAGCCUGAUGCAGCGACGCCGCGUGAGGGAUGAAGGCCUUCGGGUUGUAAACCUCUUUCAGUAGGGAAGAAGUCCAUCCUUUUGGGGUGGGUGACGGUACCUGCAGAAGAAGCGCCGGCUAACUACGUGCCAGCAGCCGCGGUAAUACGUAGGGCGCAAGCGUUAUCCGGAAUUAUUGGGCGUAAAGAGCUCGUAGGCGGUUUGUCGCGUCUGCCGUGAAAGUCCGGGGCUUAACUCCGGAUCUGCGGUGGGUACGGGCAGACUAGAGUGCAGUAGGGGAGACUGGAAUUCCUGGUGUAGCGGUGAAAUGCGCAGAUAUCAGGAGGAACACCGAUGGCGAAGGCAGGUCUCUGGGCUGUAACUGACGCUGAGGAGCGAAAGCAUGGGGAGCGAACAGGAUUAGAUACCCUGGUAGUCCAUGCCGUAAACGUUGGGCACUAGGUGUUCAG